CCUACGGGGGGCAGCAGUCGAGAAUCAUUCACAAUGGGGGAAACCCUGAUGGUGCGACGCCGCGUGGGGGAAUGAAGGUCUUCGGAUUGUAAACCCCUGUCAUGUGGGAGCAAAUUAAAAAGCUAGUAGGACAAGAGGAAGAGAAGGCUAACACUGUGCCAGCAGCCGCGGUAAUACAGAGGUCUCAAGCGUUGUUCGGAAUCACUGGGCGUAAAGGGUGCGUAGGAUGUUUCGUAAGUCGUGUGUGAAAGGCGCGGGCUCAACCCGCAGACGGCACAUGAUACUGCGAGACUAGAGUAAUGGAGGGGGAAGCGGAAUUCUCGGUGUAGCAGUGAAAUGCGUAGAUAUCGAGAGGAACACUCGUGGCGAAGGCGGGUUCCUGGACAUUAACUGACGCUGAGGCACGAAGGCCAGGGGAGCGAAAGGGAUUAGAUACCCGGGUAGUC
rnacentral:rRNA from 1 species